UGCUGUUGGAGCAGAUAUAUAUAAUGGUGCUGAAUGUCUGGGACAGUGAUGAAGAGUGGUUGGACCAAAGCGAAGAAGUGUGGGUAGGGAGCGAAGAAGUGUGGGUAGGGAGUGAAGAUGAGGUAGUUGUGCAUCUUGUUACUCUGGACAUGUGGAGUAGCGAGGAGGAAAGGGAAGCGAGAGCUGUGAAUCAUAUGACCCAAAGUGGUCAGAUU
rnacentral:lncRNA from 1 species